AAAAGGUGAAGCUGGAGAGAAGCUUACUGUUUUUCUUGCAAUAAGUUGAAGUCACUGAUAAUGUAAUUGGAAAGAAAUAAUUCUGUUCAAGAGUCUAUGUGAUGUCAGCUCAAUUUUAACUUGCCAGAGUCUGUCAAUGCAUUCUAGGGCUUUGUUUUGCAUCUUGAGGAAAGCUCCAGGACUGUCUUAUGUAGCUGUAAGGUAUUUUAG
rnacentral:misc_RNA from 1 species